rfam:Spiroplasma corruscae strain EC-1 chromosome, complete genome.
UUGAAGUUUCAACCGCUCUUUUGUAUGUUUUAAGAAAUAGUUAUAUUCACAUACAAGGCGAGUCUAUUCGGAGGU